rfam:Picea glauca, whole genome shotgun sequence.
GCAUGCCUAUAGCAUAGAGUUAAUGCAUCGGAUCCCAUUAGAAAUCCACAGUUAAGCGUUCUCAUGCUAGAGUAGUACUGGGAUGUGUGACUACCCGGGAAGUCCUAGUGUUUUACAUGCC